rnacentral:rRNA from 1 species
GACGUAGGGUCCAAGCGUUGUCCGGAUUUACUGGGCGUAAAGAGCGCGUAGGCGGUCUGUUAAGUGAGAAGUGAAAUCUCCAGGGCUCAACCCGGAAACUGCUUUUCAUACUGACAGACUAGAGGAAUGCAGAGGUAAGUGGAAUUCCUGGUGUAGCGGUGAAAUGCGUUGAUAUCAGGAGGAACACCCAUGGCGAAGGCAGCUCGCUGGGACGGUACUGACGCUAAGGCGCGAAAGCGUGGGGAGCGAACAGG